GGUUACAGCUCAGCGGUAGAGCACUUGCCUAGCAUGUGCGAGGCUCUGGGUUCGAUCCUCAGCACCA
rnacentral:tRNA from 1 species